rnacentral:rRNA from 1 species
ACAAACAUUGUUGCUGUUAAAACGCUCGUAGUUGGAUUCUGAGUUGGAGGCCGCCAUGGAGCCUGGUGUUUGGUGGCAAUCCUUUGCUGGUUAUGCUAGCAUUGGGUCGCUAACACUAUGGAUCUAACUCCUGGCUUUGACCUCCACUCAAAGCAGAUGGGAUCGGUUUGCCUGUGGAUGCCUCCUUUACUGGUGGUGGAUACAACUAUGCGUAAAACAUGAGCACGGCUCGUCCAUCGAAUGUUACUCUGAGCAAAUCAGCGUGUCCAAAGCAGCCGCCUGUUCGGCUGAAUGCUCUAGCAUGGAAUAACAAGGCGCCGGCCUCUUGACCGGCUUUUUGUUGGCUUUCUUGGUCUUUUGAGGAUAGCUCAGGGCAAGUUAUUCAUGGUAGUUCUCGAGGCAGACGCUUUUCGCUUCUGUCUCUCCUGCACAUGAAGCUUGUCUCUUUCGGCGAUAAUGGGAUCAACCGGGGCAGUACGGAUCACCAUGUCAGCGGUGAAAUGCUCAGACCAUGGUGGGACGAACUAAUGCAAAGGCAUUCUGCCAGGAUGUUUUCAUCAAUCAAGAACGAGAGUGUGGGGUUCGAAGAUGAUCAGAUACCAUCGUAGUCCAUACCCGUAAACCAUACCGACUCGGCAUCGGGAAUUCGUUCACUUUACGACUUUCCCGGUGUCUUCCCCCAAUACCGAGAAAUCCAAGUCUAUGGGUUCAGGGGGAAGUAUGGUCGCAAGGCUGAAACUUAAAGGAAUUGACGGAAUGACACCACAAGGCGUGGAGUAUGCGGCUUAAUUUGACCCAACACGAGGAAUCCUACCAGGUCAGGACUCAGCCAGGAUUGACAGACUGAGAGCUCUUUCUCGAUUCUCAGAAUGGUGGUGCAUGGCCGUUUUUGGUUCGUGGUGUGAACUGUCUGCUUAAUUGCGAUAACGAACGAGAUCUCCUCCACUAACUAGGCGCUGAUCUCGUAUAUAGGUAGGGAGGCGUUUGGAUGCCUUAGGGUACUCCUGUCUCCUGAGAGGUCAGCUCGCUUCUUAGUGGGACUGUGCAUGUGCCUAAUGCACGUAAGAAGGAGCCAAUAGCAGGUCUGUGAUGCUCUUAGAUGUCUUGGGCUGCACGCGCACUACACUGGUGCAGUGAACGAGUUGUACCUCCAUUUGGAGUCCUGCUCAGAACUGAGCGUGGGAAAUCUUGUGAAACUGACGCCGUGGUUGGGAUCGGUGAUUGCAAUUAUUGACCUUGAACGAGGAAUGCCUAGUAGAGCUACUUCAUCAGAGUAGCUUGAUUUCGUCCCUGCCAUUUGUACACACCGCCCGUCGUUGCUACCGAUCCGGUGGGGAAAUAGAGGCCUCAAGAGCUGCA